CCGAGAGCGAAACCCGAUUUCGAAUAUCCCCGAAGACGUCGGACUCGAUCCGGGAGUUGUCCUUUUAAGUGAAACAAAUUGUUCCAGCAUGACGAGCCAGAUGUAUAGAUAAAGCUGGAAGAAAGUCACCAUAUAAGCUAACAAACGGAAGUUUUCUUUCAUCAAUUCCGUUCAGUAGCAUUCCGGAUUCCAAUAUAUCCCGCGAAAUCUCCAACUAAAUUUCUUAAUAGUUGUAAUCUGGUCGCAUCCCAGUGAUAAAGCCUCCGAAUCAAAAUUGUUAACACUGUUUUAAGGAUUGUGUUUGUGUUGGAAAAAGAUUUUUUUAAAUAAAUAACAAAAAUA